rnacentral:rRNA from 1 species
UACGUAGGGUGCGAGCGUUAAUCGGAAUUACUGGGCGUAAAGCGUGCGUAGGCGGUUCUCCAAGUCCGUUGUGAAAUCCCCGGGCUUAACCUGGGAAUGGCAGUGGAAACUAGGGGACUUGAAUCUGGCAGAGGGGGGUGGAAUCCACGUGUAGCAGUGAAAUGCGUAGGAGAUGUGGAGGAACACCGAUGGCGGAAGGCAGCCCCCUGGGCUGAGAUUGACGCGCUGGAGUGCACGAAAGCGUGGGGAGCAA